rnacentral:rRNA from 1 species
AUCGAACGCUGGCGGCAGGCCUAACACAUGCAAGUCGAACGAGUGGCGGACGGGUGCGUAAUGUCUGGGAAACUGCCUGAUGGAGGGGGAUAACUACUGGAAAAGGUAGCUAAUACCGCAUACCAUCAGAUGUGCCCAGAUGGGCUUAGCUAGUUGGUGGGGUAACGGCCCACAAAGGCGACGAUCCCUAGCUGGUCUGAGAGGAUGACCGGCCAAACUGGUACUGAGACACGGUCCAGACUCCUACGGGAGGCAGCAGUGGGGAAAAUUGCACAAUGGGCGCAAGCCUGAUGCAGCCAGGCCGCGUGUCUGAAGAAGUCCUUAGGGUUGUAAAGUACUGUCAGCGGGGAGGCGUUACCCGCAGAAGAAGCACCGGCUAACUCCGUGCCAGCCGCCGCGGUAAUAC